GUUGAACGCUGGCGGAAUGCUUUACACAUGCAAGUCGAACGGUAGAGGGGGCAACCCCUCGAGAGUGGCGAACGGGUGAGUAAUAUAUCGGAACGUGCCCAGUCGUGGGGGAUAACGUAGCGAAAGUUACGCUAAUACCGCAUACGAUCUAAGGAUGAAAGCGGGGGAUCGCAAGACCUCACGUGAUUGGAGCGGCCGAUAUCAGAUUAGGUAGUUGGUGGGGUAAAGGCUCACCAAGCCAACGAUCUGUAGCUGGUCUGAGAGGACGACCAGCCACACUGGAACUGAGACACGGUCCAGACUCCUACGGGAGGCAGCAGGGGGGAAUUUUGGACAAUGGACGCAAGUCUGAUCCAGCCAUUCCGCGUGCAGGAUGAAGGCCCUCGGGUUGUAAACUGCUUUUGUACGGAACGAAAAGGUCUCUCUUAAUACGGGGGACUCAUGACGGUACCGUAAGAAUAAGCACCGGCUAACUACGUGCCAGCCGCCGCCGUAAGAC
rnacentral:rRNA from 1 species